GACUUGAGCGCCAGCGAGAGAGCGUUGCCGCAGGCAACGACCCGAAGGGCGAAGCGCGCAGCGCUGAGUAAUCCUUCCCCCACCACCA
rnacentral:sRNA from 2 species